rnacentral:ribozyme from 1 species
AAGAGAGCUUGAACUCUGGAGAAGAAGGUUCGUCUAUAUCGAGGUGCUCAUCUUUGUUGACUUUAUUGUCUUUAUUGUCUUUUUUUGAUAAAUUUUUUGAUUUUCGGGGAGAAAGAGGGGUUUUUAGGGUAAAACGGGGAGAGGAAGAGGUAGAGGAAGAGAGAUCUGUGGACCGUGAGGAAGACAGGUCUGCAGGUUUUGUAGUGGGUUUUGGGGGUGGGUUUUUUUUUUUCUGAGUCUUUUGGCUUAGAUAGA